rnacentral:lncRNA from 1 species
AUAAACCCAAAUUGGCAGAGAGGUGGGGAGCGCAGCCAUGCAAUUUUAUCACAGCCUGAUCCUCUCCAGGGAUCUAUAAAACAGCUAACUCUCGGUGAGGACUGAAAAGCUCAGAGAGAAAGAGGCAGCACAAGAAGGGACUAGACACCAACAAGAUCUGUGAAAUGGAAAUGGAAAUAUUCAUUGUAUAGGGCUGUUGCUGAUUUCCUAAAACUGGAAGCACUACAUAGCGCUGUAGGGACCAUUGCAGUGUCAAUAACUGAAUGAUUGAAGAAAAAACAAACACUAGUUUUUAGAGUAUCGCUGAAACAGGCACCAAACAUUAGGCCAUUUACGCUGGGAUGACUGAAGAGUGGAACUAGAAGAACCCACACCUGCUGACUCCUUUCCAAGAAAUCACAAUUCAGGAAAUACCUUUAAAAUUCAAUGGUGAUAAAGUCAAGAUUCAAUAAAUGGG